UGGCAAUGCGGCUCUUACCAUGCAGUCGACGAUGAAGCCCUUCGGGGUGGAUUAGUGGCGAACGGGUGAGUAACACGUGGGCAAUCUGCCCUUCACUCUGGGACAAGCCCUGGAAACGGGGUCUAAUACCGGAUAACACUCUGUCCUGCAUGGGACGGGGUUGAAAGCUCCGGCGGUGAAGGAUGAGCCCGCGGCCUAUCAGCUUGUUGGUGGGGUAAUGGCCUACCAAGGCGACGACGGGUAGCCGGCCUGAGAGGGCGACCGGCCACACUGGGACUGAGACACGGCCCAGACUCCUACGGGAGGCAGCAGUGGGGAAUAUUGCACAAUGGGCGAAAGCCUGAUGCAGCGACGCCGCGUGAGGGAUGA
rnacentral:rRNA from 1 species